UAGCUCAAGUGGUAGAGCACAUGCUUAGCAAGCAGGAGGUCCUGGGUUCAAUCCCCAG
rnacentral:tRNA from 1 species